CUGUGUCAGGACGCAUGAGGACAUGGUCAUGGCACUAGUCGGGACGUUGCAAGACAUGGCAGGGCGUAGCCAUGGAACGAGUCGGGACAUCGCAGGACAUGGCAAGGCGUGGCCAUGGCAGGAGUCUGGACGUCGUCCUGACGCGUCAUGACAUGGCCAUGGCACGAGUCACAACGUCGCAUGACGCGUCCUGACAUGGCCAUGGUACGUGUCAGGAUGCAUCAAGACAUGGCCAUGUCACGAAUCGGGACGUCGCAGGACAUGGCAGUGCAUGGCCAUGGCAAGAUUCAGGACGUCGCAGGACGCGUCAGGACAUCGCCAUGGUACGUGUCAGGACGUAUCAGGACAUGGCCAUGGCACGUGUCAGGACGCUUCAGGACAUGGCCAUGGCACGUGUUAGGACGUGUCAGGACAUGGCAGGGCGUGGCCAUGGCACGAGUCGAGACGUCACACGACAUGGAAGGGCGUGGCCAUGGCACGAGUCAGGAUGUCGCAGGACGCGUCAGGAUAUGGCCAUGGCACGUGUCAGGACGCGUCAGGACAUGGCAAGGCAUGGCCAUGGCACGAGUCAGGACGUCGCAGGACAUGGCAGGAUAUGGCUAUGGUACGUGUAAGAACGUGUCAGGACAUGUCCAUGGCACGACAUCGCACCAAGCAGCACAACGUCGCUACAAGCCGCACCACGUCUUUUGCUAACCAAUUCUUAGAAACAUGUCAAGCGCAAUGAUGUUGGUGGUCGUUGGCGACGGUGGUGGAAAGUCGGGGUGGUUCGAGCGGUGGUGUCCAGUGACGGUCGGUCGACGCUUGGAGGUUGGCUGCGGUUUCUUCAAAUCCUAAUCACUUGUUGUUGUUCGGCAACACGUCAAGCGCAAUGAUGUUGGUGGUCUUUGGUGGCGGUGGUGGCAAGUCAUGGUGGUUCGAGCGGUAUCCACUAGCGACGGUUGGUCGACGCUUUGUGGUCGGGUGCGGAUUUUUCAAAUCAGAAUCACUUGUAGUGGUUGCGACAAUGGAGGUGCCUCGUGCUUGUUGGCGAUUGGUGAUCUAUACGCUUUUAUAAUAAUAUUAUGUAUUUUUCCUAUUUUUAAUAUAUUUUUUUAGGAAUUUUUAUGCAUUUGUAUGCAUUUUUAGUUAUUUUAAAUUAGUUUUAUGUCACUUUUUAAUAAAAUAUUUACUCUUUUAUAUUUUGUACUAUUACAAGAUGUACUGGAAUUUUUCUCCAUCAUUAUUUCUAUUUUGAUAACAAUUUUCAUAUUUUUUAGCUUAUGGCGUAGAUGGCUUUCGGCAAUGGAACAGCAGAGCGUCGUGCAAGUAGCGCCACAAGGUGCGUGCACAUGGGGUGAUGCUUAGUAAGUUGCCUAUUACCAUUGAUUGUUAUGGGUUGUGUCAAUAUACCCCCCUCCGUGGAGGCAUAUGGCUUUGCAAUGUUGGCAUCGGCUUGUGUGGCGAGGUUGGAUCCCUACUCGAGCAGCGACGUCCUAGCUCGCAUGCAAUCUCACUCAUGUCACAAGCGAAAAUUAGGCUUGUUCGACGUCAGUUUUUUGUGUUGCAUACCUAAUGCCAAGGCAUUAUCAAGCACAAUCGGUCGCCUUUCGCCCCUCGCGUUCGACGUGCGGGGUGAACGAAAAGCUGUACUUGUGUCCCAGGUCGUCCUGGCUUCGCCUUGCAAUGGCUUGGUCCACGACUUACCAUGCUUGGGAUCUCGGAUUCGGUAAACGCAAUGGGCACAGGGCCUUCGUUGGCUCCUAUCUGCCCAAAGAAUGCUCCUUACGAAUGACGGUCGUGCUCGCCUUGGACUUUGCCGCGCCCUUUUGGGUCGGCCAUGCUCAUGCGAUGCCGACGGUAAUGAGGAAUGCUACCUGGUUUAUCAUGCCAGUAGUCAUAUGCUUGUCUCAAAGAUUAAGCCAUGCAUGUGUAAGUAUGAACAAAUUAAGAUUGUCACUCUGCGAAUGGCUCAUUAAAUAAGUUAUAGUUUGUUUCAUGGUAUCUACUACUAGGAUAACCAUAGUAAUUGUAGAGCUAAUACGUGCAACAAACCCCAACUUCUGGAAGGGAUGCAUUUAUUAGAUAAAAGGUCGACACGGGCUCUGCCCGUUGCUGCUAUGACUCAUGAUAACUCAACGGAUCUCACGGCCAUCGUGCCGGAGACGCAUCAUUCAAAUUUCUGCCCUAUCAACUUUCGAUGGCAGGAUAGUGGCCUACUGUCAGGACCCUAACUUUGUCAUCGGACGUGGCACGAAUGUGGCAAGGAUUUGGGCGUGAUGGCCUUGUCAUUGGCCUAUGUGCGAGCAAAACGAUCAUGCGGGUUGACAUGUUAUGGUGGACAAUUAUUGGCCAAGGCCUUGGCAUGGGCAAGGUGCGCUUGGAAAAGGCUUGAAGAGGAAACAUCGGCAAUGGUUGGGCGGCUUGGCACGGCAUGUGCGCCAAACUCAGAUUCAUGACACUCUUGGCUUGUGGCAGCUAUGUGCGGGCUAAGCUAAGGCGAGGCGGAAAUGCGGGUUGACGGAAAAGGUAUUCAAUAGCUACGACUAGGUUAUGGGAAAGAGAACACAUUUCAUUGGCAUGGGCAAUGUCUAAUUUACCUAAGGAAUGGCACGGGCAGCCGUGGGGGCGAAAUUAAGCUGGCCAAGGAAAUGGCACAUGCAAAACACAUGGAAAGCGGUUGGCGGCGUUGUUUGUAGGCCAUGAUCUCCCAUGAUCUCCCAUUAUCCCAUGAACUUAUUAUUUUUUUUUAUAGUGGCCCUAUUUCGUGCAUAAUGAUCCUAAGUAGUUGGGGAUGUCAACUACAAGUUAGGAGCAUGAUUUAAGCUUAGUCCGACAAGUGGCAAAAGCUGUUAGACAACAAGUGUCCUGGGCGGUUAAGUUUAACGGCCUAUAAAUAGUACCCUUCACUUAGGCAAAGCAACGAAGUAUGUUCAAGGGAAUUACUUGAGGGAAAAUAGAGUAAGUUCAAGGGAAUUACUCGUGGGAAACAAGAGCGAAAUGUGAGGGUUAUCUAGUGUUUCCAAAAAGGGGCUAAGGUUGUGCAUGGGCAGAUCUUAGUGUUGGCCAAGAACGACCAGGUGUUCUCCGUCAAAAGUGGGUUGUGAGCGGACGGAUAGUUCAUAGCAAUUGAGGGUCCUUUGUAUAUUUUCUAUAUUAAUGCAAAGGCUGGGAAUUUGUCCUAUAUGUUUGUAUUCCUUUAAAAUUCUAUUUUUUGCCUAAAUUUUGUCUAAGGUCAAACUUGCUGAAAAUUGCAAGUGUUUCGGAAGGCUGAGUCAAGCACGGGACUUGACUGCCGUGCGAGUGUGGUUUUGGACUAGGUCAAAAACACCCUCGUGAAAAUUGGUAUCAGAGCUGAGCAGGUUUGUGGCAGUGGCGAAACGAUCAGUGGCAGAUUACGUAAGAAUUUUUGAGAACAUGGCUGGUGGCACAAACGCGGAGCUGCAUCAAAGAGUUGAGUAGUUAGAAGCACUAGUUAAGCAGGAUCUUGAAAGUGAUGGUGAUUUUUAUGUUCUUGCUAGAAUGGCACGUUUGGAAGCAGAUUAUGCAGCGAGACAUGAGACAGUGCUGGCAGAAAUUACCUUGGUACGCCAAGAGAAAGAUGAAUUACGCGAGGAAGUGGCUGAUCUUCGAAGGGCAUUACAAAAUUCUGCCCGUAGAAAUGAUGAGCGCACUAAGCUGAGGAUUCCGGAGCCAAGGCUUAUGGUGGUGCAAUAAGUGCCAACGAACUUGAAAAUUUCUUGUGGUAUAUGGAGCAGUAUUUCCAGGCUGCACGUGUGUAGGAUGAUGAAAAGGUGGUGAUCACACCAAUGUACUUGACGGACGAUGCAAAGGUGUGGUGGCAUACACAAAGUGCAGAUUGAUAAGGUGCUGGACUGCCCAAGGUCAGAACUUGGGAGUUGAUGAAGAAGGAAUUAAAAUCCCAAUUCCUUCCAACAAAGUCAUCGUGAUGGCAUGAGAUGGACUGCGUCACUUGAAACAGAGUGGCACGGUGAGGGAGUAUGUCAAGAAAUUUUCGUCCUUGAUGCUCAAUGUAAGUAAAAUGGUAGAAGAAGACAAGCUGCAUUACUUCAUUAAUGGGUUGAAGGGAUGGGCGCAAUAAGAGUUGAGAAGGUAAAAUGUGCAAAGCCCUUCUACUGCCAUUGCAGCGGCAGAUGCGUUGGCGGACCUGAUUAUAUGUGAUGAACCUAUUGAAACUUUGCAUUCAAAGUCCGAUGGAAGGAAGGACAAAGCAAGGGAAUGGUAGAGAAAUGGGAAGGGCCAAGCGUCUGAAAUGAGGACCUUGUCAAGAUUGUGAGACUGGAAAAUCACAAUGGCAAGGAAAGGAACAGCGUGUUCAAAGGCUGUUUCACUUGUGGUGGACCGCACUUGAAGAGGGAUUGUCCGAUGCAGGCAAAGUUAAAUGCAGUGCUAGCUGCGGAGGGACAGGAACAAGUAGCGGAGGCAAAUGCCAUAGUUGCAGAUGCGUGGGGAGCACCCGCGCGGUGUUUGUCAACAACCCCUUGGGGUUGUUAAAUUUAGACAGCUACACGAGGAUGUCGAUUGCAAAGGGAAGAGCUGUUUCGUCAGGACCCUAACUUUUGUCAUCGGACGUGGCACGGCUGUGGCAAUGAUUUGGGCAUGAUGGCGUUGUCAUUGGCCUAUGUGCGAUCAAAACGAUCAUGCGGGUCGAAAGGCUGUGGUGGACAAGUAUUGGCCAAGGCCUUGGCAUGGGCAAUUUGCGCUUGGAAAAUGCUUGAAGAGGAAGCAUCGGCAAUGGUUGGGUGGCAUGGUACGACAUGCGUGCGAAACUUAGUGGCAUGACACUCUUGGGUUGUGGCAGCUAUGUACGGGCUAAUCUAAGGCGAGGCGGAAAUGCGGGUUGACGGAAAAGGCUUUUAAUAGCUAAGACUAGGCCCUGGGAAAGAGAAUACAAGCAAUGGCAUGAGGGAAAUUAGGUUGGCACGGACAAGGCACAAAACCUGGCCAAGGCAGUAUGCGGGUGUAUGGGCGCCGGGCGUGUGCGAAAAUAUCAUGGCAGCAGAUUGCGGGCAAUACAUUGGCAUAGGCAAUGUCUAAUUGACCUAAGGAAUUGCACGGGCAGCCUUGGGGGCGAAAUAAUGCUUGCCAAGGAAAUGGCACAUGCAAAGCACAUGGAAAGCGGUUGGCGGCGGUUACCUUGUUUGUAGGCCAUGAUCUCUCAUGAUCUCCCAUUAUCCCAUGAACUGAUUAUUGUUUGUAUAGUGGCCCCAUUUCGUGUAUAAUGGUCCUAGGUAGUUGGGGAUGUCAACUACAAGUUAGUAGCAUGAUUUCAGCUUAGUCCGACAAGUGGCAAAAGCUGUUAGACAACAAGUGUCAUGGGCGGUUAAGUAUAAGGGCCUAUAAAUAGGACCCUUAACUUAGGCAAAGCAACGAAUUAAGUUCAAGGGAAUUACUUUUGGGAAACUAGAGUACUCGGAUAACCAUAGUAAUUCUAGAGCUAAUACGUGCAACUAACCCCCACUUCUUGAAGGGAUUCAUUUAUUAGAUAAAAGGUCGACGCGGGCUCUGCCCGUUGCUGCGAUUAUUCAUGAUAACUCGACGGAUCGCACGGCCAUCGUUCCGGCAAUGCAUCAUUCAAAUUUCUGCCCUAUCAAAUUUCGAUUGUAGGGUAGUGGCCUACUGUCAGAACCCUAACUUUUGUCAUCGAACGUGGUAUGGCUUUGGUAAGGAUUUGGGCGUGAUGGCCUUGUCAUUGGCCUAUGUGCGAGCAAAACGAUCAUGCGGGUCAACGGGUUGUUGUGGACAAUUAUUGGCCAAGGCCUUGGCAUAGUCAAGGUGCGCUUGGAAAAGGCUUGAAGAGGCAGCAUCACCAAUAGUUGGGCGGCAUGGCACGGCAUGCGCGCCAAUCUCAGUGGCAUGACACUCUUGGGUUGUGGCAGCUAUGUGCGGGCUAAGCUAAGGCGAGGCGGAAAUGCGGGUUGACGCUAAAGGCUUUCAAUAUCUAAGACUAGGCUAUGGGAAAGAGAAUACAAGCAAUGGCAUGAGGGAAAUGAGGUUGGCACGGACAAGGCAGAAAACUAGGCCAAGGCAGUGUGUGGGUGUAUGGGCAUCAGGCAUGUGCAAAAAUAUCAUGGCACCGGAUUGUGGGCAAGACAUUGGCAUGGGCAAUGUCUAAUUGACCUAAGGAAUGGCACGGGCAGCCUUGGGGCGAAAUGAAGCUGGCCAAGGAAAUGGCACAUGCAAAGCACAUGGAAAGCGGUUGGCGGCGUUGUUUGUAGGCCAUGAUCUCCCAUGAUCUCCCAUUAUCCCAUGAACUGGUUAUUGUUUGUAUAGUUGCCCUAUUUCGUGUAUUAUGAUCCAAAGUAGUUGGGGAUGUCAAGUACAAGUUAGGAGCAUGAUUUAAGCUUAGUCUGACAAGUGGCAAAAGUUGUUAGACAACAAGUGUCAUGGGCGGUUAAGUUUAGGGGUCUAUUAAUAGGACCUUUAACUUAGGAAAAGCAGCGAAGUAAGUUCAAGGGAAUUACUUGUGGCAAAAUAUAGUAAGUUCAAGGGAAUAACUCGUGGGAAACAAGAGAGAAACGUGAGGGUUUUCUAGUGUUUUCAAAGGUGGGCUAAGGAUGUGCAUGGGCAGAUCUUAGUGUUGGCCAAGAACGACCAGGUGUUCUUCGUCAAAAGUGGGCUGUGAGUGGACGGAUAGUUCAUAGCAAUUGAGGGUACUUUGUAUAUUUUCUAUAUUAAUGCAAAGGUUGGGAAUUUUUCCUAUAUGUUUGUGUUCCUUUAAAACUUUGUUUUGUUGCUAAAUUUUGUCUAAGGUCAAACUUGCUGAAAAUUGCAAGUGUUUCGGAAGGCUGAGUCAAGCACGGGACUUGACUGCCGUGCGAGUGUGGUUUUGGACUAGGUCAAAAACACCCUCGUGAAAAUUGGUAUCAGAGCUGAGCAGGUUUGUGGCAGUGGCGAAACGAUCAGUGGCAGAUUACGUAAGAAUUUUUGAGAACAUGGCUGGUGGCACAAACGCGGAGCUGCAUCAAAGAGUUGAGUAGUUAGAAGCACUAGUUAAGCAGGAUCUUGAAAGUGAUGGUGAUUUUUAUGUUCUUGCUAGAAUGGCACGUUUGGAAGCAGAUUAUGCAGCGGCGGAUGUGGUUUCGGACUACUUCAAAAUCGCCCCCGUGAAAAUUAGUAUCAGAGCUGAGAAGGUUCAUGGUUGCGGCGAAACGAUCAGUGGCAGAUUACGUUGGAAUUCUUGAGAACAUGGCUGGUGGAACAAAUGCAGAGCUGCAUCAAAGAGUUGAACAGUUGGAAGCACUAGUUAAGCAGGCUCUUGAAAGUGAUGGUGAUUCUUAUGUUCUUGCUAGAAUGGCACGUUUGGAGGCAGAUUAUGCAGUGAGACAUGAGACAGCGCUGGCAGAAAUGGCCUUAGUACGCCAAGAGAAAGAUGAAGUAUGCGAGGAAGUGGCUGAUCUUCGAAGGGCAUUACAAAAUUCUGCCCCCUAGAAAUGAUGAGCGCACUAAGCUGAGGAUUCCGGAGCCAAAGGCUUAUGGUGGUGCAAAAAGUGCCAAGGAAGUGGAAAAUUUCAUGUGGUAUAUGGAUCAGUAUUUCUUGGUUGCACGUGUGCCGGAUGAUGAAAAGGUGGUGAUCACACCAAUGUACUUGACGCACGAUGCAAAGGUGUGGUGGCAUACACAAAGUGCACAUGGAGAAGGUGCUGGAUUGCCCAGGGUCGGAACUUGGGAGUUGAUGGAGAAGGAAUUAAAACCCCAAUUCCUUCCAACAAAGUCGUCGAGGAUGGCACGAGAUGGACUGCGUAACAUAAAACACAGUGGCACGGUGAGGGAGUAUGUCAAUGAAUUUUCGUCCUUGAUGCUCAAUGUAGGUAUAAUGGCAGAUGAAGACAAGAUGCAUUACUUCAUGAGCGGGUUAAAGGGAUGGGCGCAAUUGGAGUUGAGAAGGAAAAAUGUGCAAAGCCUCUCUACUGCCAUUGCAGCGGUAGAGGCGUUGGCAGACCUUAAUAUAGGUGAUGAACCUAUUGAAACUUCGCAUUCGAAGUCCGACGGAAGGAAUGACAAAUCAAGGGAAUGGAAGAGAAACGGGAAGGGCCAAGCGUAUGAAAUGAGGAACUUGUCAAGAUUGUGAGACCGUAAAAUCACAAUGGCAAGGAAAGGAAAAACGUGUUCAUAGGCUGUUUCACUUGUGGUGGACCGCACUUGAAGAGGGACUGUACGAUGCAGGCUAAGGUAAAUGCACUGCUAGCUGCGGAGGGACAGGAACAAGUGGCGGAGGCAAAUGCCAUAGUGGUAGAUGCGAGGAGAGCACUCGGGCGGUGUUUGUCAAUAACCCCUUGGGGUUGUUAAAUUGAGACAGCUCGACGAGGACAUCGAUUUCAAAGGGAGGAGGUGUUUUGUCAGGACCCUAACUUUUGUCAUCAGACGUGGCAUGGCUGUGGCAAUGAUUUGGGCAUGAUGGCCUGGUCAUUGGCCUAUCUGCGAGCAAAACGAUCAUGCAGGUCGACGGGCUGUGGUGGACUAGUAUUGGACAAGGCCUUGGCAUGGGCAAGGUGCACUUGGAAAAGGCUUGAAGAUGAAGCAUCGGCAAUGGUUGGGCGGCAUGGCACGGCAUGCGCGCCAAACUCCGUGGCAUGAUACUCUUGGGGUUUGGCAGCAAUGUGUGGGAUAAGCUAAGGCGAGGCGGAAAUGCGGGUUGACGGCAAAGGAUUUUAAUAGAUAAGACUAGUCUAUGGUAAAGAGAAUACAAGCAAUGGCAUGAGGGAAAUUAGGUUUGCACGGAUAAGGCAGAAAACUAGGCCAAGGCAGUGUGCGGGUGUAUGGGCGCUGGGCGUGUGCGGAAAUAUCAUGGCAGCGGAUUGCGGGUAAGACAUUGGCAUGGGAAAUGUCUAAUUGACCUAAGGAAUGGCACGGGCGGCCUUGGGGCGAAAUUAAGCUGGCCAAGGAAAUGGUACAUGCAAAGCACAUGGAAAGCGGUUUGCGGCGGUUACCUUGUUUGUAGGCCAUGAUCUCUCAUGAUCUCCCAUUAUCCCAUUAACUGAUUAUUGUUUGUAUAGUCACCCCAUUUCGUGUAUAAUGGUCCUAAGUAGUUGGGGAUGUCAACUACAAGUUAGAAGCAUGAUUUAAGAUUAGUCCGACAAGUGGCAAAAGCUGUUAGACAACAAGUGUCAUGGGCGGUUAAGUUUAGGGGGCCUAUAAAUAGGACCCUUAUCUUAGGCAAAGCAACGAAGUAAGUUCAAGGGAAUUACUUGUGGCAAAAUAGAGUAAGUUCAAGGGAAUUACUCGUGGGAAACAAGAGAGAAACGUGAGGGUUUUCUAGUGUUUCCAAAAGGGGGCUAAGGUUGUGCAUGGGCAGACCUUAGUGUUGGCCAAGAACGACUAGGUGUUCUUCGUCAAAAUUGGGCUGUGAGCAGACAGAUAGUUCAUAGCAGGCAUAUCUUAGUGUUGGCCAAGAACGACCAGGUGUUCUUCGUCAAAAGUGGGCUGUGAGCGGAUGGAUAAUUCAUAGCAAUUGAGGGUCCUUCGUAAAUUUUCUAUAUUAAUGCAAAGGUUGGGAAUUUGUCCUGAGUCAAGCACAGGACUUGACUGCCGCGCGGGUGUGGUUUUGGACUAGGUCAAAAACGCCCCCAUGACACCUACCAUGGUGGUGACGAGUGACAGAGAAUUAGUGUUCGAUUGCGGAGAGGGAGCCUGAGAAACGGCUACCACAUCUAAGCAAGGCAGCAGGCGCCCAAAUUACCCAAUCCUGACACGGGGAGGUAGUGCCAAUAAAUAACAAUACCGGGCUUUAUGAGUAUGGUAAUUGGAAUGAGUACAAUCUAAAUCCCUUAACGAGGAUCGAUUGGAGGGCAAGUCUGGUGCCAGCAGCCGCGGUAAUUCCAGCUCCAAUAGCGUAUAUUUAAGUUGUUGCAAUUAAAAAGCUCGUAGUUGGACUUGGGGAUGGGCCGGCCGGUCCGCCUUUGGUGUGCACCGGUCGUCUCGUCCCUUCUGCCGGCGAUGCGAGAUCGGAAGACAAUUAAAAAGCUCGUAGUUGGACUUUGCGAUGGGCCGGCCGGUCUGC
rnacentral:lncRNA from 1 species